rnacentral:rRNA from 1 species
CCUACGGGAGGCAGCAGUAAGGAAUAUUGGUCAAUGGACGCAAGUCUGAACCAGCCAUGCCGCGUGAAGGAUGAAUGCCCUCUGGGUUGUAAACUUCUUUUAUAGGGGACGAAAAAGGGUCUUUUUAGAUCAACUGACGGUACCCUAGGAAUAAGCACCGGCUAACUCCGUGCCAGCAGCCGCGGUAAUACGGAGGGUGCAAGCGUUAUCCGGAUUUACUGGGUUUAAAGGGUGCGUAGGUUGGUUGGUAAGUCAGCGGUGAAAUCUUCGAGCUUAACUCGGAAACUGCCAUUGAUACUAUCAGCCUUGAAUAUCCUGGAGGUGAGCGGAAUAUGUCAUGUAGCGGUGAAAUGCUUAGAUAUGACAUAGAACACCAAUUGCGAAGGCAGCUCACUACGGGAUUAUUGACACUGAGGCACGAAAGACGUGGGGAGUCAAACAGGAUUAGAUACCCUGGUAGUCCACGCCCUAAACGAUGGAUACUCGACAUUUGCGAUAUACAGUAAGUGUCUGAGCGAAAGCAUUAAGUAUCCCACCUGGGAAGUACGAUCGCAAGAUUGAAACUCAAAUGAAUUGA